ACGCUUCGGCGAUGCGGCGCACAUCCCAACCCGAAUCUGCGGUCGGACCCGACCAGCCGUAGCCGGGCAUCGACGGGCACACCACGUGGAAUGCGUCGGAGGGAUCGCCUCCGUUCGCUCGCGGAUCGCGCAGCGGUUCGAUGAUGUCGAGGAACUCCGAGACGGAGCCCGGCCACCCGUGCGUGAUGAUGAGCGGCAACGCAUCGGGUUCGGGCGAGCGGGCGUGGAUGAAGUGAACCGACUGCCCGUCGAUCUCGGUGAUGCCGUGCGGCCACCGGUUGAACCUCGCCUCCUGCGCCGACCAGUCGAACGUCGUGCGCCACGUCUCACAGAGAUCACGCAGGUACUCGCCAUCGGUGCCGUAACCCCAGCCCGAU
rnacentral:misc_RNA from 1 species